UCCGCUGGUUCGAGAAUGCUGCACCCAAGCUGUGGUAACAUUGCUGAGACAGCGGAACAGUGUCAGAACGUUACCAUAAUGGAGGAUCAUGCAGCUGGCCAGGAGAAGCACGUCCCAUCAGGCUAUCCCCUCCAGAUACCAGUCGAUGAUGGAUCAGAUGAGCCUUUUUCUGAAACAUCUGACGCUAAGAGCACCCCAACUACGGAAGAUGCCACAGCACCUUUAGUGGAGGAAGGAGACCACGAGGAUCAGGGUGGUGUCGAACAACACGGGGAGAUUCCAGAAGGAACCACAGCUGAAGAGGCGGGCAUAGGAGCCACCCCCAACCUGGAGGACCAUGCUGCAGGAGAUGCCGUGCAAGAGGAGCCAAGGCCUUCCAAGUUACAGCCUUACCCUCAGGAUUGUGUGGGAGAUGCAAUAAGAAGAGAAACCCAAUCCACAAAGCAGGCAGCCGGGGUUCCUCAGCAGCCUCUUCUAUCUCAUGAAAUGAAGGCUACAACAGCAGCUCCCACCAGGAUCGAGGUCACCAUCCCAAUACCUCUGGAUAUGUACCAAGACUCCAGAACAUGUGAAGACAGCAAUGAGUUGUGGGAUCACCGAGGCAGGGAAGGCAGUGGUGUGGAUGCCGCACUGGGAACAGAGCGAAGUCAUGAUGUGUGCACUGAGGGGUUGGCAGGAGCAGGCAGCACAGGCAACUCCCAUAUUAAAGAUGGGCUGUCUCCUUUGUAUACCAGAGCCCCAUUAAAAGAAGAUGCCAGUGGACUGGAAAGAGACAAGGACCGUGAUAUUGAUGAAACUCCUGAACAGGAUUUGAUUUCCCUGGUGGGACAGCAUAUUUUACCAAGACCUGAAGUGGGCUUGUGUCCAGCAGCAGCCAAGGAAGCUCUUGAAGAAUGUGCCUUUGGCAAAAAUAAGUCUCAAGAUGUGCUCAGAGACACAUCAAGAGAGGUACCUCUUGUUGAAACUGAAUCACAUGAAGCAGGAGAGGACCAAGAGAGGAAGAGGUGGCCACUGGGCGGGGAGGAAGACACAGAUAUCAUCCCAUCUAAGCCUUCUGAAGUCAUCUCCCAAAAAGCUAAGCCUGGGGAGGAAGGAGAUUCUGGACCCUUGCUAGAAUCAGCCAAACUCCCCGUGGAGUUAAAAGAUGAUGUGGAAGACAAAGAUGCUCCUUCUGAACAGGCAGUGCCAGAUACAGGAGAAUGCGGGACACCCAAGAAGAGAACUUGUGCUCGUGUUACAGAUAAAGCCAUCAGUCGUGUCCCUCUCCUAAAAGGUCGCAUCGACAGCAAAGACCAGGAUGGGGCUGAGGCUGAGGAAAAGAAACUGAAGAAAUCCUCACCUUCCACUGCCAAACCCCCAGGUGGUAGACCCUCCAUCCCUCCCCACCGACACACCUCCUCUAGCACAACCCCUUCGAAAACACCCUCCAGCCCUGCUUCCACCUCUAAACGAGCCUCUUCUGUCACAUCCCGACCUGCCAGUAAAGGAACGCAGGAAACGAGAGCCAAGGGCCCAGAGAUGAGAGGUGGCGUGAAGACGGCUACACAGCGGUCUGCAGCAGGGCAGGGCCAGAGGAACUCGACUAAUGCCACGCGCAUCCCAGCAAAGACUCCCACGGCCCCCAAGACACCUCCCAGCUCCGGCAGAAAGGAGCAGAAGAAACCACCUCCUGCAGCAGCAAAGUCUGAGAAAGGUGAGCAGCCAAAGUCUGGAGACAGAAGCGGUUACAGCAGUCCGGGCUCUCCUGGGACUCCGGGCAGCCGUUCCCGCACUCCCUCUCUGCCCACCCCACCAGCCAGGGAGCCCAAGAAGGUGGCAGUGGUUCGCACACCACCAAAAUCUCCUGCAUCUGCCAAGACCCGCGUCCAGCCAUCAGCCGCACCCAUGCCUGAUCUGAAAAAUGUGAAGUCCAAAAUUGGCUCAACUGAAAACCUGAAGCACCAGCCCGGAGGUGGCAAGUUUUUGUGGACAUAAACUUUAUGUUUUGCACCAGAAAAGGUAUUUAUUUUUUACAUUUUCUCUCUGGUAUAUCUCCUCCUUUUGGAUGAUGUGUAUGCAAAUCUUAAUUAAUUACCACUCUACUUUCUCUUUCUCUCUCUCUUACGCACUUUAAAAUUGCCUCUACUUUCCUCCUUUGUGGAGAGGUGAUGUUGUGCAUGCUGACAUGUUAAGAGGCUACUGCACAUGGGCAUUAAUCAUCUCCCAUUUCUGACAACAGUUUCUUUUGUGUUAUUAAUCUUACUGGGGUUUAAACUGUCCUUUCCCUUGAAUCCAGAUCAGGUGCCGGUGUGUGUUGUGCCUCCCCCCUCCAGGCUGCCUGUGGUAGCAGUAAGCUCAUUGACUUCUCCUUUCUCAUAUGGACAGGUUCAAAUUGUUUACAAGCCAGUUGACCUGAGCCACGUGACAUCCAAAUGCGGUUCCCUGGGCAACAUCCAUCACAAACCAGGCGGUGGCCAGGUGGAGGUGAAAUCUGAGAAACUGGACUUCAAAGAUAAGGUGCAAUCGAAAAUUGGGUCCUUAGAUAACAUCAGCCACGUCCCUGGAGGUGGAAAUAAAAAGAUUGAGACUCAUAAGCUGGACUUUCCGUGAGAAUGCCAAAGCCCAAGACCGACCACGGCGCCGAAAUCGUUUAUAAGUCCCCCACCAUCUCUGGAGAUGCCUCCCGCGCCGCCUUAGCAAUGUCUCCUCCACGGCA